UACGGGGGGAGCAAGCGUUGUUCGGAUUUACUGGGCGUAAAGGGCGCGUAGGCGGCCACCGCAAGUCGGCUGUGAAAUCUCCGGGCUUAACCCGGAAAGGUCAAUCGAUACUGCGGGGCUAGAGUGCAGAAGGGGCAACUGGAAUUCUCGGUGUAGCGGUGAAAUGCGUAGAUAUCGAGAGGAACACCUGCGGCGAAGGCGGGUUGCUGGGCUGACACUGACGCUGAAGCGCGAAAGCUAGGGGAGCGAACGGG
rnacentral:rRNA from 1 species